ensembl:misc_RNA Metazoa_SRP Metazoan signal recognition particle RNA
GCCGGGUGUGAUGGCACGUGCCUGUAGUCCCAGGCUGAGGCUGGAGGAUCUCUGGAGUCCAGUAGUUCUGGGCUGUAGUGCGCUAUGCCAAUCGGAUGUCUGCACUAAGUUCAGCAUCAAUAUGGUGACCUCCCAGGAUUGAGGGACCAUCAAGUUGCCUAAGGAGGGGUGAACUGGCCCAGGUCGAAACGGAGCAGGUCAAAACUCCCGUGCUGAUCAGUAGUGGGAUCGCGCCUGUGAAUGGCCACUGCACUCCAGCCUGGGCAACAUAGCAAGACCCCCGUCUCU